UAGUAGCUGUGCUAACUUGGGCAAUU
rnacentral:piRNA from 1 species